rnacentral:rRNA from 1 species
UGAGGAAUAUUGGUCAAUGGACGAGAGCCUGAACCAGCCAAGUCGCGUGAAGGAAGACUGCCUUAUGGGUUGUAAACUUCUUUUAUACAGGAAUAAAAAGGCUUACGUGUAGGCCAUUGCAAGUACUGUAUGAAUAAGCAUCGGCUAACUCCGUGCCAGCAGCCGCGGUAAUACGGAGGAUGCGAGCGUUAUCCGGAUUUAUUGGGUUUAAAGGGUGCGCAGGCGGGCUUUUAAGUCAGCGGUGAAAUCUGGACGCUUAACGUCCAAACUGCCGUUGAAACUGGGAGUCUUGAGUAUGGAUGAAGUAGGCGGAAUUCGUUGUGUAGCGGUGACAUGCAUAGAUAUAACGAGGAACUCCGAUUGCGUAGGCAGCUUACUAAGCCAUAACUGACGCUCAUGCACGAAAGCGUGGGGAUCAAACAGGAUUAGAUACCCUGGUAGUCCACGCCGUAAAACGAUGAUUACUAGUUGUAUGCGAUAUGAUAGUAUGUGACUAAGCGAAAGCGAUAAGUAAUCCACCUGGGGAGUACGCCGGCAACGGUGAAACUUAAAGGAAUUGAC